GAUGAACGCUGGCGGCGUGCCUAAUACAUGCAAGUCGAGCGAAUGGAUUAAGAACUUGCUCUUAUGAAGUUAGCGGCGGACGGGUGAGUAACACGUGGGUAACCUGCCCAUAAGACUGGGAUAACUCCGGGAAACCGGGGCUAAUACCGGAUAACAUUUUGAACCGCAUGGUUCGAAAUUGAAAGGCCGCUUCGGCUGUCACUUAUGGAUGGACCCGGGUCGCAUUAGCUAGGUGGUGAGGUAACGGCUCACCAAGGCAACGAUGCGCAGCCGACCUGAGAGGGUGAUCGGCCACACUGGGACUGAGACACGGCCCAGACUCCUACGGGAGGCAGCAGUAGGGAAUCUUCCGCAAUGGACGAAAGUCUGACGGAGCAACGCCGCGUGAGUGAUGAAGGCUUUCGGGUCGUAAAACUCUGUUGUUAGGGAAGAACAAGUGCUAGUUGAAUAAGCUGGCACCUUGACGGUACCUAACCAGAAAGCCACGGCUAACUACGUGCCAGCAGCCGCCGUAA
rnacentral:rRNA from 1 species